UAAGGUUUCUGUUGGCGAAGUACUUUGCGAAGUUGAAACUGAUAAAGCCACCGUGGAAAUGGAAUGCAUGGAAGAUGGCUAUCUUGCUAAGAUUGUACACGGAGAUGGAGCAAAAGAAAUUAAAGUCGGUGAGAUAAUUGCUAUUACUGUGGAAGAAGAAGGUGACAUUGAAAAAUUUAAAGAUUAUAGUCCUUCAGCAUCUGAUGAGCCUGCUGCAAAGGCAUCACCUGAACCCGCUUCACCUAAAAAGGAGCCAGAGCCUGAGCCCGAUAGAGCUCCUGAACCCGAUAGAGCUCCUGAGCCUAAGGCUCCAAAGGCUGAACAAACCUCUGGCACAGAAGAUCGUAUCUUCUCAAGUCCUCUUGCAAG
rnacentral:misc_RNA from 1 species